rnacentral:rRNA from 1 species
CAGUCGCCGCGGUAAUACGUAGGGUGCAAGCGUUAAUCGGAAUUACUGGGCGUAAAGCGUGCGCAGGCGGUUCUAUAAGACAGAUGUGAAAUCCCCGGGCUCAACCUGGGAACUACAUUUGUGACUGUAGAGCUGGAGUGCGGCAGAGGGGGAUGGAAUUCCGCGUGUAGCAGUGAAAUGCGUAGAUAUGCGGAGGAACACCGAUGGCGAAGACAAUCCCCUGGGCCUGCACUGACGCUCAUGCACGAAAGCGUGGGAAGCAAACAGGAUUAGAUACCCCAGUAGUCCCUGUCUCUUAUAC